ACCGACCCUCGAGCCCAAGAGUUCCUCCACCCAUGUUAUAGACUGUACAUAAAAGAUGGACACAGCCACUAUGACGUCAAGCACGGGUUUGGAGAAGUUCUAUUUUGAACCUCCAGACAGGCCGCGGCUGAACGGGACAAACUGGCAGGUGUUCCAAAUUAAGGCUGUCCAAAUCUCAAGGAGGAAGAUGUCGGACCGUUCACAGAGUCGCAGCCCAAAGCCACAGAGAGCAGCUCCUUCUGGAUCCUCCGCUCCCUCUGCCUCCUCAGCAGAGCCAGGAUCU